AUAUAAAUUGUUUUUAUUUUACUUGUUAGGAAAUACAGACUUGUGACAGUGUUGAAGUAAUAAAUUGAUAAUUUGGAAUAUUGGACAAGCAAAAGAAUACCUGCAGCAGAAAAACUAGUCGACUACAGACUUCCCUAGUACAACAAUAACAACCAGUGUCUGGUUGCAGGAUACUAAGAUAAAUUCUUCAUUGCUGCAGUUUCUGGUAAAGUGUGGUACAGCAUAGGAAAUUUCCAUUUUAUUUGAAGAUUUCUUCUUUUUUGGAUGGAGAUGCUUUGAUGAUCUGACCUUAUGAGACCCAUGCAGGGUU